UGGGGAAUAUUGCACAAUGGGCGAAAGCCUGAUGCAGCAACGCCGCGUGAGGGAAGACGGUCUUCGGAUUGUAAACCUUUGUCCUUGGUGACGAAAAGAAUGACGGUAGCCGAGGAGGAAGCCACGGCUAACUACGUGCCAGCAGCCGCGGUAAUACGUAGGUGGCAAGCGUUGUCCGGAAUUACUGGGUGUAAAGGGCGCGUAGGCGGGAAUGCAAGUCAGAUGUGAAAUCCAAGGGCUCAACCCUUGAACUGCAUUUGAAACUGUAUUUCUUGAGUGUCGGAGAGGUUGACGGAAUUCCUAGUGUAGCGGUGAAAUGCGUAGAUAUUAGGAGGAACACCAGUGGCGAAGGCGGUCAACUGGACGAUAACUGACGCUGAGGCGCGAAAGCGUGGGGAGCAAACAGGAUUAGAUACCCUGGUAGU
rnacentral:rRNA from 1 species